rnacentral:rRNA from 1 species
GACGAACGCUGGCGGCGUGCUUAACACAUGCAAGUCGAACGGUGAAGGGACCGGUUUUUGCUGGUUCUGGAUGAGUGGCGACCGGGUGAGUAACACGUGAGUAACCUGCCCCCUUCUUCUGGAUAACCGCAUGAAAGUGUGGCUAAUACGGGAUAUUCUGCGCCUGCUGCAUGGUGGGUGUGGGAAAGAUAUUGUUUCGGUGGGGGAUGGGCUCGCGGCCUAUCAGCUUGUUGGUGGGGUGAUGGCCUACCAAGGCGGUGACGGGUAGCCGGCCUGAGAGGGUGGACGGUCACACUGGGACUGAGACACGGCCCAGACUCCUACGGGAGGCAGCAGUGGGGAAUAUUGCACAAUGGGCGCAAGCCUGAUGCAGCGACGCCGCGUGAGGGAUGGAGGCCUUCGGGUUGUAAACCUCUUUCGCCAGUGAAGCAGGCCUGUCCCUUUUGUGGGUGGGUUGACGGUAGCUGGAGAAGAAGCGCCGGCUAACUACGUG